CAGCUUUCAACCUGGGUAUGCUGGGUUUAGUUAUUUCCCAGUUCGAGAAGACCAAAGGUGUAAUUUGAACCAAACGACUCUUAGAAGAUAUGCUUCUACUAGUAAUAUAUCAACAGCGCCAACAACAUCAGAUUAUGUUUCACAAAGGGGAAUGAAUCGGUCGUCGCAGGAUAGUA